GUUACAAAGUGCCGGGAGCCGUGCAGGGCCAGUGAACCCCUCGCUGAGACUCAGUUUGCUGCCAUCACAAGUGCUCUGAGAAUCCUGGAGAGGGAGGAUAUUGGAGACAAACGGGACUGCUGCCCGCCUUUUAGGCGACCGUUGGAGGCUGCUCUGUGCCGGACACAGGCAGGCUCCCACAGCUCAGAAGUCAGCGGAGCAGAGUCCCCAGGAAACCAGGGUCAGGGAUGGAGGCUGCUGAGGAGCGGGUCUGGGAGGUGGAGGCCAGAUACAAGAAAACCACAGUACCAGUAAAUGACAAAGGCUGGAUCUUAACCCAAGUCCUCCGACUCUGAAGGCCAUACCCAACAGCCAGCUCAGACCCAGGCGGUGGAGCAGGAAGGCUCUGGGGAAAACAGUGUGAGUCACCGGGCGGCCAGAGUGUGUCCUUCCCUGCUAGCGCACUACACGGCAGGUUUCAUAGCUUGACAGCAAAGUGUUUGAAAACGAAGAGCAGGAAUUCCGCGGUUCCUGCCCGGCCUCGCCAUCCAGCUGGGAGAAGAGCAUGGUCAUUUC
rnacentral:lncRNA from 10 species